UUUGGCUCGUAAUUUCAACCUCCCUUAAAAUAGCAAAGGCGCAAAUUGGACCUUUUCCCUCUCUCUUUGCCAAUUUCCAUUCUGCAACGGAAGAGGGGGUAUUUUCUGAAAAGCUGCUGCAGGUGUCAAGAAUAGUACACCUCUUGGGAAUUCUGCAUUCAUGGCAUUCCUGCAUCCCUGGCCCUGAACUCCAGGAGCAAAGUUGUGCAAAGGAACUGGAUGCUGCAAUACACAAAGAAGACCUCAGACUCCCACCAAAGCUUCCCUGGGUCUGCUAAGUCUGUGGAAUAGGACCUACUCCCCGCUGGGGGCAGAUCAGACACAGUUGGAGUCAAGAGAAGAGCUGUCAAAGAUAACUAUCUUCAAUGAUGGCUUACAGGGGUGUGCCAACAUCUGAUGCCUCUUGAACUGCAGAUGUGACCCACCAUUUUCUUAGUGGAGAUCGCUUGAGUAGUCUCCACAUGAAGGACUUUCUCCUAAAUUUCUGUCCAUUUGAACAAGUGAGGAGAGCAGCGAACAGUUUGUCUGAGAACAACAAGAGAUCUAGAAGCAAAUGGGAGGCAUUUUACAGAGUAAUGAAGCCAGCCGCUGCAGCAUGGAAAUAACAGGUUCUGACAGGUUAGUUUAAUUUGUCUUUGUACGCAAACCUCAAGCAUCUUCCCUAUUGUUCUAUCUACUGUCAUCUUAGAUAUACAGGGCCUUUCAUUGGCUUUAUAAAUAAAUUGUUCAAAAGCAUCCUACACUAGAAUGAAAAAUAAUUGUAUUAGGAUGCUUCUCACCUUCCCUGUGAUGGCAUGCCAUUAUGGCUGAUAGCCAUGGAAUUGUCAACAUGUUUCACUUUGCUCUACUUCCUAUAUUAAAGGAAAUUUGGAAAAAGAUUUAUCUUUCUAGCCAGAUGUGCAAGCCUUUAAUCCCAGCACUCCAGAGACAGAGGCAGGAAGAUUGUGGCAAGUUCAAAACUAGUCUGAGACUCAUAACAAGUUCCAGGCUAGCCAGUACAAUAUAGCAAGACCCCAUCUGUGGUCAUUUGAAUGUAAUUGGCCCCCAUUAUCUCAUAGGGAGUGACACUAUUGGGAGGUAUGACUUUGUUGGAGUGGGUAUGGCCUUGUUGGAAGAAAUGUGUCACCAUGGGGAUGAGCUUUAAGGUUUCCUAUGCUAAGGACACCGCCUAGUGUCUCAAUCGACUUCCUGUUGCCUGCAAGAUGUAGGACUCUCAACUACCUCUACAGUGCCAUGCUUACCUGCAUGUUGCCAUGCUUCCCACCAUGAUGAUAAUGGACUGAACCUCUGAAACUAUAAGCGAGUCACUCCAAUUAAACGUUUUCUUUAUAAGAAUUAUCAUGGUCAUGGUGUCUCUUCACAGCAAUAAAAACCCGAAGACACCAUAUCAAAAUUUGUAUUUCCUUCCUUCCUUCUUCUCAUCACCUCCAGGACUUUGCACAUGCUAAGCAUGCAUUCUACCACAGAGCUACACAAUUAGCCCCUCUUUCUCAUUCAUCUGGAAUAGAGUGUCCUGUCACCCUCUCAUGUAUUUUAGCUCUAAGAUAUACUUUUCAUCAGAAAAAUUUAAUUAACA